rnacentral:rRNA from 1 species
GACGAACGCUGGCGGCGUGCCUAAUACAUGCAAGUAGAACGAACAGACUAUACCGUAGCUUGUCACACCAUAGACUGUGAGUUGCGAACGGGAGAGUAACGCGUAGGUAACCAGCCUGGUAGCGGGGGAGAAAAAUGGGAAACGAAAGCUAAAACCGCAUAAUAUUGAUUAUUGCAUGAUAAAUGAUGGAAAGAUGCUAUUGCAUCAAUACCAGAUGGACCCGUGUUGUAUUAGCUAGUAGGAGAGGUAACGGGUCACCUAGGCGACGAUAAAUAGCCGACCUUAGAGGGUGAUCCGCCCCACUGGGACUUGGGCACGGCCCAGACUCCUUCGGGAAGCAGCAGUAAGGAAUCUUCCGCAAUUGGCGGAAGUCUUGCCGGACCACGCCGCGUGGGUGAAUGAGGUUCUCGGGUCGUUAAGCUCUGUUGUAUGGGGAGGACGAGUGUGGUAGUGGAAUGUUCACGCUUUGACGGUAUCUUACCAGAAAGGGACGGCUAACUACGUG